rnacentral:lncRNA from 1 species
AAAUUUUAAUGUCAUAUCAUCAUAUUUUGUAAGAUUUUUACUUUCAGCCGUUGAUUUUGAGCCACUUCGAUUACUAGGCAAAUGAUAUCGAAAAAUUGUAAAAUUUAUUUUCUAGAUACUUCAAAUGCUCUAGAUUAAGUCUAACGGAGCCGAUCAUCGAUUCGAAAGUCCGAACAUCGAAAACAAAGUGAAAGCACGGAGCCCUCCGUGCUUCCAUAAGCAUCCUAGCCGCACUCUAUAUAUAUAUAUAUAUAUAUAUAUAUA